UACGUAGGGUGCAGGCGUUAAUCGGAAUUACUGGGCGUAAAGCGUGCGCAGGCGGUUUGCUAAGACAGGUGUGAAAUCCCCGGGCUUAACCUGGGAACUGCGCUUGUAACUGGCAAGCUAGAGUGUGGGCAGAGGGGGGGUGGAAUUCCACGUGUAGCAGUGAAAUGCGUAGAGAUGUGGAGGAACACCGAUGGCGAAGGCAGCCCCCUGGGCUAACACUGACGCUCAUGCACGAAGCGUGGGGAGC
rnacentral:rRNA from 1 species